rnacentral:rRNA from 1 species
UACGUAGGGGGCGAGCGUUGUCCGGAUUCAUUGGGCGUAAAGAGCUCGUAGGCGGCUUCGUAAGUCAGGUGUGAAACCUCCAGGCUCAACCUGGAGCCGCCACCUGAUACUGCGAUGGCUUGAGUCCAGUAGGGGCGCGCGGAAGUUCCUGGUGUAGCGGUGAAAUGCGCAGAUAUCAGGAGGAACGACCGGUGGCGAAGGCGGCUC